AAUCCAGCUUCUUCAGGAUGAUGGGGAACAUGCUCCUGAAAUCGUUUGGGUAAGCAAUUGCUGAUUUUAGUCAAAUUCCCUCACCUCACAAAAAGGCUGGAGUGCAGUGACGUGAACUCGGCUUACUGUAACCUCUGCCCCCACCAGGUUCAAGCAAUUCUCGUACCUCAGCCUCCCAAGUAGCUGGGAUUACAGUGAAGUUUCUGAAAAGUAAUACAGCAGGCAAAUAAAAUCUGCAGGAGACAGCAGAAGGAAAAGCAAUUAUUCUGAAUAAUCUACACAUAAAAAAUAUGAUUUUGUUUGAUAUUUACCACCCCCUUCAAUUUUGAGGAGCGAUUACUUCCAAAUGAGGCAUGUAUGCUGAGUUGUUCUUUGACUCAUCUAUAAAGCUUUUAGCAAAUUGAGGGAAUUUGAAUUUCUAACAUCAAAAUGCAAUGUACAAAGGAGGAAAAAAUAUGACUCACCCAGCCCCCAAAUUUCAUAUUUAUAUCUCUGAUUGAAUCUGGUUUUAAAGGCGAAAUUUUAAAGGAAUAAAAGGCAAA
ensembl:lncRNA ADGRL3-AS1 ADGRL3 antisense RNA 1